AGUGAACGCUGGCGGCAGGCCUAACACAUGCAAGUCGAGCGGCUGAAGGGAGAUUGCUCCUGGAUUCAGCGGGCGACGGGCGGGCAAUGCCUAAGAAUCUGCCUGGCAGCGGGGGAUAACGUCCGGAAGCGGGCGCUAAUACCGCAAUAGUCCAUAGGGCGAACGGGGGGGAUCUGCGGACCUCACGACAUCGCACGAUCCUAUGUCGGAUUAGCUAGUUGGCGGGGUAAAGGCCUACCAAGGCGACGAUCCGUAGCUGGUCUGAGAGGAUGAUCAGACACACUGGAACUGAGACACGGUCCAGACUCCUACGGGAGGCAGCAGUGGGGAAUAUUGGACAAUGGGCGCAAGCCUGAUCCAGCCAUGCCGCGUGUGUGAAGAAGGUCUUCGGAUUGUAAAGCACUUUUAGUUGGGAAGAAAAGCAGUAAGUUAAUACCUUGCUGUUUUGACGUUACCCAAAGAAUAAGCACCGGCUAACUUCGUG
rnacentral:rRNA from 1 species